rnacentral:rRNA from 1 species
AGUUGGUGGAGUGAUUUGUCUGGUUAAUUCCGUUAACGAACGAGACCCCUGCCUGCUAAAUAGUUCCGUCAAUGAAUCUUCAUUGACGAGAGCUUCUUAGAGGGACGUUCAAGGACUACUUGAAGGAAGAGAGGGGCAAUAACAGG